rnacentral:lncRNA from 1 species
UCGUGAAUUCGUAUUUUGUUUCAAGAAGACUUAUUGCGGCUUAGAGGGUCGGCUUCAAAUGGGUUACAAAGGAUAACGUCGGGUGUAGGGUAGGCUAAACAAAGAAAAAAAUCAAAGUAUGUGUGGCAUUUUUUUGGGGGGUAGAAGAAAUGGUAGAAUGAAUGGAUGUUCGGAAGUAACAAGAAAUAAUAACAAAAUAAUCUCAAAAAGACUUUUCACUUUUUUUUACUUGAUUUUUUUUGCUCACUUCUUUUUUUUUUUGAAUUUUUUUUACUUCGUACCUUUUUUUUCAAUUUUUUUUCAAUUUCCUUUUUUUUUCAAUUACAAUAGAUGAAAUACAUAAAAAAUUACAACUUAAAAUUUUUUAUAUUUUUUUCGAUUUUUUUUACGAACCUACUCCGGGCUUAACACGAACAUCGACACUCCUUAUUUUGCAAGCUCUGAUACCAAAUGAUGUAAUCUAGCCCGGGUUAAUCGAGUCGUUUCACAAAGUUUGCCCGAUCGUCAACGAGGAGAAAUUCUAGCAGGCAAAAAGGUGUAAAUUUGUUUUAAAAUUUGCGGAAGCUUACAAAGGGAAUUUUGUAAUGAUAGAAGGUCUAGAAAGAUGUAGGUUUGGUUUAAUAAAGGAAUCAAAGGAUAGUUAAUUUGGGAUAAUUUGGGAAAUGGAAAAAUGG